CAGGUACCGGUUCACACCGCCACGCGGUGACCCGGCGACC
rfam:Acidothermus cellulolyticus 11B, complete genome.